CCCCUCUCAGGAUCACACCGGGAGAGUUUCCAGUACUCUACCAGGCUCAGCUAUGGGAGGGAGAGUCAAGCAGACCAUACCCAUUCCAUUCCUAGCUUGGGCAGUCGCUAGUAAGUGGAAGGCAAUCUGCUACAAGU
rnacentral:snoRNA from 1 species